rnacentral:rRNA from 1 species
AUUGAACGCUGGCGGCAUGCCUUACACAUGCAAGUCGAACGGCAGCACGGGUGCUUGCACCUGGUGGCGAGUGGCGAACGGGUGAGUAAUACAUCGGAACAUGUCCUGUAGUGGGGGAUAGCCCGGCGAAAGCCGGAUUAAUACCGCAUACGAUCUACGGAUGAAAGCGGGGGACCUUCGGGCCUCGCGCUAUAGGGUUGGCCAAUGGCUGAUUAGCUAGUUGGUGGGGUAAAGGCCUACCAAGGCGACGAUCAGUAGCUGGUCUGAGAGGACGACCAGCCACACUGGGACUGAGACACGGCCCAGACUCCUACGGGAGGCAGCAGUGGGGAAUUUUGGACAAUGGGCGAAAGCCUGAUCCAGCAAUGCCGCGUGUGUGAAGAAGGCCUUCGGGUUGUAAAGCACUUUUGUCCGGAAAGAAAUCCUUGGCCCUAAUACGGUCGGGGGAUGACGGUACCGGAAGAAUAAGCACCGGCUAACUACGUG